rnacentral:rRNA from 1 species
ACUCCUACGGGAGGCAGCAGUGGGGAAUAUUGGACAAUGGGCGCAAGCCUGAUCCAGCCAUGCCGCGUGUGUGAAGAAGGCCCUCGGGUUGUAAAGCACUUUCAGUGAGGAAGAAAGCUUGUCGGUUAAUACCCGGCAAGGACGACAUCACUCACAGAAGAAGCACCGGCUAACUCCGUGCCAGCAGCCGCGGUAAUACGGAGGGUGCGAGCGUUAAUCGGAAUUACUGGGCGUAAAGCGUACGCAGGCGGUUUGUUAAGCGAGAUGUGAAAGCCCCGGGCUCAAGCCUGGGAACUGGCAUUUCGAACUGGCAAAUCUAGAGUGAUGAUAGAGGGUGGUAGAAUUUCAGGUGUAGC